GGCAAGGACAGUUUGCAGUAGCUCUAGCCCUAAGACAGACACAUGUGCAGGACACAGCCACGGUAAAGGCUGCAGAACUUGCCAGCCAGUGGGUAGAUGAGGCUGAACCAAUACAUACUGGGUCUGCAUGUGGAAGAAUGAGGCUUGCAGCCAACGGCCGUCCACAUCUCUGAUGAGGAUCAGAGCACAUGGAAAUUGAAGCCAUGUGGGACUUAACAAGAGAUCAAAUGGUAUCUUAAACAUCCCAGGGCAGCUGCCCUGUCCCCAGAGCCUGGGGCGGCCUCUGUGAAGGGGCCCCUCUUUCCUGGUGUUCUGGGUCCCUCUCCUCCCAGCUCCACUGCAGCAUCCAGAUUUCUCGAAGUGGCUGAUGUGUGUCUCAUGAUGAGUACUGAACAUCAUAAAAGGAGAAGUGACAAGCAAGCCCGAGUCUAGAGAGUAAGAGAAGCCACAGGCUAAGAAGUGGGACCAUGGCUUAGAAGACCAGAACAGAAGAAAAAGCAAGAGAUGAACAUUCUGGCAAAAACCAGACUACAGAUUUACAUUUUUUCUUUAUUAUUUUAUUAGAUAUUACCUUUAUUUUUAUUAUCUUUUUAAAUUAUUUUUAUUAUUUUAUUAUCUUUCAUUAUUUUUAUUAAAAUUCUUAUCACUUUAUUUUCUUUAUUCUUUUUUCUUUACUCUCAGUACUUCAUUCAGCAUCACCAUAUUUAAUGUUUCCUUACAACUGGGUCUUUUCUAUGGUUGUCCUUGGAUACACCCUUGUUGGUGGCAGAACCCUGUGGUUAGUUCUGGCCAAUGACUGAUGUGUGGAAGUGAUGUGUCUGGGCUGAUGUAUUGAAUGGCCUCUGGGAAGCAAGCAGUUGACAGGGUGACAGACAAAUGCUUGAAACAGCUUAUGCAGUGGAGGUUUCCUUCAGAGGACAAUUGCCCUGGGGACAUCUCUUGAUCAGGAUCUGACUUUGC
rnacentral:lncRNA from 1 species